rnacentral:rRNA from 1 species
GCUUAGCCGUAAACAAAGACAGUGCAAACACAACACUGUCCGCCAGAGAACUACAAGCAAAAACUCAAAACUCCAAGGACUUGGCGGUGCUCCACAUCAACCUAGAGGAGCCUGUCCUAUAAUCGAUACCCCCCGAUUCACCUCACCCCCCUUUGAAACUCAGCCUAUAUACCGCCGUCGUCAGCCUACCUUAUGAAAGAAGCAAAGUACGCAAGAUAGUCACUAACUAAGACGUCAGGUCAAGGUGUAGCACAUGGGGCGGAAGAGAUGGGCUACACUCUCUUACUCAGAGAACACGAACAGCACAAUGAAAUACUGCUCAAAGGCGGAUUUAGUAGUAAGAUAGACAAGAGAGUCUAUCUUAAACAAGCCCUGGAGCGCGCACAC